AUUCCAGCUCCAAUAGCGUAUAUUAAAGUUGUUGCAGUUAAAACGCUCGUAGUCGGAUUUCGGGGCCUGCCUGCCGGUCUGCCGAUGGGUAUGCACUGGCAGGCGCGUCCUUCCUUCCGGAGACUGUCCCUACUCUUAACUGAGCGGGGUCGGGAGACGGAUCGUUUACUUUGAAAAAAUCAGAGUGUUUCAAGCAGGCAGCUCGCUCUUGCAUGGAUUAGCAUGGGAUAAUGAAAUAGGACUUUGGUGCUAUUUUGUUGGUUUCGAACACCGAAGUAAUGAUUAACAGGGACAGUCAGGGGCACUCGUAUUCCGCCGAGAGAGGUGAAAUUCUCAGACCAGCGGAAGACGAACUACUGCGAAAGCAUUUGCCAGGGAUGUUUUCAUUA
rnacentral:rRNA from 1 species